rnacentral:sRNA from 2 species
UGGUUUAGGAAAGGAGCUAGUUGGAGGAACCAGGCAGGGGAAGAUGCAAAUUUCAUUGGAACAAGUAUAAAUGUCUGUCGAGCUACAGCCGGGGACGCUUGCCACGAAAAAGCUUUUUUGCGACAUAAUUCGAGUCUGGUCCGCCCCAACUGAGCUGGACAGAAUGCCAUAGGAAACAUUUAACGACUGAGAAGUACAAUCUGAUCAAAGUGGCGGCUUUCAGCGAGAGACCGAAGCAAGAACAAAUGAUGUUGAAGAGACAGGCGUACAUAAAAGAAAAGGGAACUAGAAUCAAGAAACAGCAAAAGGAAAUUAUUGCGAUGCAAUGCAAUUUUUCAAUAUGCAUGUCAAAGUUAUGCGGAACAUGAUGAAAUGAUAGGAAAGCAGA